rnacentral:rRNA from 1 species
GAAGCUACGGCAUCAGUAAUGAUGGGUAGGGGAGCUUCCCAUACGGGUUGAAGCAUGACCGUAAGGACAUGUGGACAGUAUGGGAGUGAGAAUGUUGGCAUGAGUAGCGAGAUGUGGGUGAGAAUCCCACAGGCCGUAAACCCAAGGUUUCCAGGGGAAGGUUCGUCCGCCCUGGGUUAGUCGGGACCUAAGCUGAGGCCGAAAGGCGUAGGUGAUGGACAACAGGUUGAUAUUCCUGUACUACCGAUAACCGUUUGAGAGAAGGGAUGACACAGUAGGAUAAGCUAAGCACACUGUUGGUUAUGUGUGCCCAAGCAUUGAGGCAGUCAAAGUAGGCAAAUCCGCUUUGAUAAUGCUGGGAUGUGAUGGGGAGCGAAAUUUAGUAGCGAAGUAGCUGAUUUCACACUGUCAAGAAAAGUCUCUAUCGAGGUUAAAGGUACCCGUACCGCAAACCGACACAGGUGGGUGAGGAGAGUAUCCUAAGGCCAGCGAGAGAACUGUUGUUAAGGAACUCGGCAAAAUGACCCCGUAACUUAGGGAUAAGGGGUGCCACCAUCAGGUGGCCGCAGAGAAUAGGCCCAAGCGACUGUUUACCAAAAACAUAGGUUUCUGCUAAGUCGCAAGACGAUGUAUAGGAGCUGACGCCUGCCCGGUGCUGGAAGGUUAAGGGGAUCUGUUAGAGCAAUCGAAGCAGUGAACUUAAGCCCCAGUAAACGGCGGCCGUAACUAUAACGGUCCUAAGGUAGCGAAAUUCCUUGUCGGGUAAGUUCCGACCCGCACGAAAGGCGUAACGAUUUGGGCACUGUCUCAACAACAGACUCGGUGAAAUUGUAAUUCCGGUGAAGAUGCCGGAUACCUGCGACAGGACGGAAAGACCCCAUGGAGCUUUACUGUAGCUUGACAUUGGGUCUUGGUACUACAUGUACAGGAUAGGUGGGAGGCUUUGAAACCAGGACGCCAGUUUUGGCGGAGCCAUCCUUGGGAUACCACCCUUGUAGUACUGGGACUCUAACCAUAGGCCAUGAAUCUGGUCUUGGGACACUGUCAGGUGGGCAGUUUGACUGGGGCGGUCGCCUCCCAAAAGGUAACGGAGGCGCUCAAAGGUUCUCUCAGUACGGUCGGAAAUCGUACG